AAAUGCGUCAUAAGAAAGAGCAACCAACAACAUCAGCAACACCAGAAGACGCCAAGAAAAAGGUUCUAGAGAUUUUCCUCCAGCUGACAGACUGCCUUUUUGGAGAAAGAUUAGCAGAAGAACCUACGGCAAAAGACAUUGUGAACAGAAUCCAUGACCGGGAUCUAUACACAUAUGUGACAAAGGUUGAGUCAGAAGGAGCUGAGCCUGAGAAGAACGAUGAACGAAGGAUUGAUGAACUAGCUAAAGAACUCAACACUGAACCCGACAACAUUGCCACUUUUGAAAGCUCCUCAAACUUUGGCAACCAAGACCCCAUUUGUGGCAUGAAUUUUUUUGAUAAAAAAGGAACAAUUCUCACUCCAGAGCAGACUGAGGAAAAGAAGAAAGAGAUGCAUAUCCCACACAUUGACCGCAGACAAUGGACAUAUGUCUUUUUGAAAAAUAAGAAUGACUGUGACCUGGAAGCCGCUAAACAGGUAACACCAGUGAGCUCAUAGUUUUUCAGCUAUAAUUCCUAAUGAAUGUUGUUCCUGAACAGACCGUGAAGACGAUUUUAACACAGGGCAGAAUGGACGACAACAGACCAGCUGCAUAAUACAUUUAUGAAUUGUUUAAAAUAAUGAUUUAAAUGGUGGUGGUGUUUUUGUGAAAAAUUAUUUAUCUUUUCAAAUCUGCUAGGUUGGAUUGUAUAAACAUAAGAUUCUAUAGCCUUUACCUGUUUGUAGUGGGGCCAACAUGUGAUUGCUUAAUGGCAGGCGUAUAUAUAUGUUGGAUCAAUUAAAAUAUAUUACAUAUGUAUGUGAUUUAGACUUACUACUAGUGUACUAGCCUACAUCCAUGUUUUAUGUCAAUUCAGUUUGUUAAAUCAAAGGUCAAGGAACUAGAAUGGACUGUUCCCUCAUAACUGAGCAGGAAUGAAAGGGAAUGGGUAGGUUAUGUGAUGAAGUGUGAAAUGAUAUUAAGUCAUCAUUAGUUAUUGGGGGAUGAAUUGUUUUCUAAGUGAGGGUGUAGUGGUUGUAAUUGUAAUUGUGUAAUUGUUCCCCCUCAAAUUAAUAUGUAAGACAAAAAUAAAGAUCAAAGAUGC
ensembl:lncRNA